UUUAAAUGUAAGUUAAUUAGACUUUCAGUUUUCAAAAUUGAGUGUGA
rnacentral:tRNA from 2 species